ACGCAACCAAAUGUAAGUCGACCAAACAAUACCUUGUCGGAUUCGAGAUCGACGGUCUCCAAGCUGCAACAAGCAACCACAUUAUGAAUUCUUCUUCGAUAUCCCUCUGGUGUAGUUUCUACACUGAUUUAGGACUUCUCUUCCUAGGCCUAAUAAGGCAUGAACCAAACAACCAGCCCAUCUCACAAGAUCAGGCCCAAGCAAAUAUAGUGUCAUAAGGUUUGUAACAUCUCGAGACCCAAACUAGCAAUCGUGACACAAGUAAUGGCACACCCUUCUUGGGGAACAAAAGCAGAUGACUUGACCCAUUUGCAGUCUUCGUUGCCCAAGUUUUCCAUUUGGGUUUUAUGCAAAUACGAUUUUGUCAAAUGGAUUUAUCGAGUCCGAGGAAAAUGAAGAUGUUUCCAAUGAUUCGAGGGGGAUGAUGUGGGCUGAUAGUGUGAAGGAGAAGAGGAAGAAGAAGAUGAAUAAGCACAAAUACCAGGAGGUGAGGAAGCAGAUUCGAAAGCAGACCUAGGUUCCUUCAAGAGCUCACGCCAUCAUAUAAGGGCUUUUGCUUCUGCACUUUGGCUAAGGAAGGAACCAAGGAAGCUCAGGUACCAUAGCUGAAUUGGAAGCAAGGAAGCUCAAGUGAGAUGGAAGCUCUCUUUGUUUUUUCCUUGAUGCAUUGUGAGGUUAAAUGUGGUAGUGUCAAGUGUGUCUGACCAUGGUUUGCUUUUGUACCCUCUUGACUUGACUAUAUAUGUAUGGUUUCACUUGUAAUCAAAUCAACUAUGUACACUUACGAAGGAAAA